AUGAACGCUGGCGGCGUGCUUCACACAUGCCAGUCGCACGAUGAAGCCCAGCUUGCUGGGUGGAUUAGUGGCGAACGGGUGAGUAACACGUGAGUAACCUGCCCUUAACUCUGGGAUAAGCCUGGGAAACUGGGUCUAAUACCGGAUAGGAGCGUCCACCGCAUGGUGGGUGUUGGAAAGAUUUAUCGGUUUUGGAUGGACUCGCGGCCUAUCAGCUUGUUGGUGAGGUAAUGGCUCACCAAGGCGACGACGGGUAGCCGGCCUGAGAGGGUGACCGGCCACACUGGGACUGAGACACGGCCCAGACUCCUACGGGAGGCAGCAGUGGAGAAUAUUGCACAAUGGGCGCAAGCCUGAUGCAGCGACGCCGCGUGAGGGAUGACGGCCUUCGGGUUGUAAACCUCUUUCAGUAGGGAAGAAGCGAAAGUGACGGUACCUGCAGAAGAAGCACCGGCUAACUACGUG
rnacentral:rRNA from 1 species